rfam:Felis catus isolate Cinnamon breed Abyssinian chromosome A2, whole genome shotgun sequence.
GCUUGGGUGGCUCAGUGGGUUGAGUGUCUGACUUCAGCUCAGGUCAUAUCUCGCAGUUUGUGAGUUCCAGCCCCACAUCAGGCU